rnacentral:rRNA from 1 species
UUUAAAAUAGUCUUUGUACUUAGCAGUAUCCUGAGUACGGCGGGACACGUGAAAUCCCGUCGGAAUCUGGGAGGACCAUCUCCCAACCCUAAAUACUCCCUAGUGACCGAUAGUGAACCAGUACCGUGAGGGAAAGGUGAAAAGCACCCCGGGAGGGGAGUGAAAUAGAACCUGAAACCGUGUGCCUACAACAAGUUCGAGCCCGUUAAUGGGUGAGAGCGUGCCUUUUGUAGAAUGAACCGGCGAGUUACGUUAUGAUGCGAGGUUAAGUUGAAGAGACGGAGCCGUAGGGAAACCGAGUCUGAAUAGGGCGCCUUAGUAUCAUGACGUAGAC